rnacentral:lncRNA from 13 species
GCGAAGGUGCUGGUAGUAAGCUGCCCUCGUAGUUCGUCAACGCAAGUUCACAAUGCAGUCCACAACUUCGAUGCUACACAUCGUAUCGCGCUGGAAGAUAUCCGAGGAUCAAUCAAUCAUCAGAC